UGUCUUAACAUAAAAAAAUUAUGAUAACAAAUACAAACAAUACUUGGUGGUGGAACAAUUUACGUCAGUCGUCGUGAACAAAGCUCCUAUAGUAUUCUAUAAAAUAUAAAAGGCUUGUC
rfam:Flavobacteria bacterium GWA2_35_26 gwa2_scaffold_4, whole genome shotgun sequence.